rnacentral:rRNA from 1 species
UACAGAGGGUGCGAGCGUUAAUCGGAAUUACUGGGCGUAAAGCGUGCGUAGACGGUUAUCUAAGUCGGAUGUGAAAGCCCCGGGCUCAACCUGGGAAUUGCAUUCGAGACUGAAUAGCUAGGGUGCGGUAGAGGGAAGCGGAAUUUCCGGUGUAGCGGUGAAAUGCGUAGAUAUCGGAGGGAACAUCAGUGGCGAAAGCGGCUUCCUGGACCAGCACCGACGUUCAGGCACGAAAGCGUGGGGAGCAAACAGG